CGGGAAGUAGAGGUGCUAAGAUAUAUAAUAACAGCGGUCUGAUACAGACAUCUCCAUUAAAUCGAGUUAAGGAAGAACAUGAGUGGCUCUUAGAAAAGUCUUUUGACAUUUUCAAAAAUGUGGCAAUGAUCCCUUUUUCCACUUUCACCAACUUCCACCGGAAAAGCAGGUCCCAGCCAAACAAUGACUCAUACGACAUAUUAAUGAUGGAGAUGGGGUCAUACUAUGGAUAUUUUGGGAUGGCAAGGUAAUUGGAUAUUGUUGUCAGGGGUGGUGCUUGUAGGUGGGGCUGAAUUGGACUACUUAUCUCAGUGCAUCUUAAGCUUCCAUCUAUGAAUGAGAUUGCUUUAUGGAAAGAAACACCAUGAACACUCCACUAUUGAUGUUUGUUCUUCUGACUCUACCCUGCUACAGCGCACAUGGGCAGAUKAAUSCUUUUGGAAUUCCAGUCUCCGUCCAUGCUGGGAAGUUCUACGGCACGUCUCCCAGAGAUCACGUCUGCGACAGGGUUAAUUAUAGCGGUCUAGAUUUCACCUGCUGUGAAGGAGUACGUCAUGAAGGGGCGGGGCUGUCCUGCUGUGGAAACAGGGUCUUUAACCUCACCCAGGCUUCCUGUUGUAAAGGUCAGUUAACUCUGAAUGUGAGCCAGCUGGUGUCAGAUUGCUGUGGGUGUAGGCCCUACGACCCACUCAACCAGCUGUGUUGUGACUCACGGAUCCUAACCAGGACCCAACCUCAUGCCAAGUGUUGUGGAAAAGAGCUUUACGAUGAAGACCACCAGCUUUGCUGUGGAAAUGUUUUGAAAGGAAGGAAGGUCCUGGCCAAAAUGUCCAGUCACCACCGAUGCUGUGGAGACCACCAGUUUGACCAGCAAAGCCACUGCUGCUGCUCUGAAACACUAUCCCCAGAGCCUCUCAAUGCAAGCUGCUGUGCAUCAACAAGUUCUAAUUACAGGGGAAUUGACGCGAGUUCUCCAAACUGUAUGCCAGGGGAGAGGCCCGAGGGUUGCUGUGUGAACCAUACAUCCUGCCAGGGGCAUCCUCACUCCCACCUCCAGACCUCUGCGGAAACACGCAGCCACACCCCAGGUCUCCACGAUGAUGCUGGCUGUGGCUCUCAGGUUUACAAUCCAGACCACAAGACCUGCUGUGCCGGGAAGCUGUCCAAUAGGGUGCUCGGAAAAAACCUGUGCUGCGGUAAAACUCCCUAUGCUGUAGAGGACCGACGGGUGCUGUGCUGUAACCAGACGUUGCACCGUGGGGUGGAGGCUGGGCACCAGUGCUCCCCAGGUGGCCACUUGUAUCGGCCAUCCCGUGAAAUUGUGUGUGAGUCACGUGUUCAUCUCAACGAUCUAGGCAAACACUGCUGUGGAGAAGAGACCUACGACCCUCAGGAUGAAAUCUGCUGCAACGGACACAAACACCGCAGGUUGGGGAACAUGUCCUGCUGCGGAGGGAAGGCCUACGACCCCAGAAGUGGCCAGAUGAAGUGCUGUGCAGAUACUCUGUACAACCUGCAGGUUCAGGACAGGCUCUCAGAGGAUGCCAAGUGCUGUGGGAAUAUCCUGAUGGAGGCCGGCUCCACCUGCUGCUCCGCCCCAGGACUAGACCUGCUCUACCCUACCCAGCCAGGGUUCACCUGCUGUGGGCACCGCUACCCCAACUCCUCCCUGUGGUCUUGCUGCGCGGGCGUCCUGCACCCAAGGACUGAACGAAACACCACCAGCAUGAACAUGAUUCCAGGACUUAGGAUUCUACCACUGGGGGACCUGAAGACGGAAAAGUUGUGUGACAACAAAGUUCUGCUAGGGACAGUGGAGAGUGUGUCUGUGAAGAGGAAUGAGCGGUCCAUCAUGAUGGGGAAGGUCAUGUCCAUGCAGGCCUUGUGUGGCCCUGUCAACGCCCUGCCUGCCCCUCACUACCUCACAUACUGCAGCUCUACUGAACUGGUGCCGGGCAACACUGACAUCUGGGUGGAAACAAGACAUUUCUCAGAAACAGUAAACUUCAUCUCUGAUCUCAGCGACUAUUCCUCCCUUCUCUCUUCCACCCUCUCCAGGAAGAAAGCCGUUACUACAACGUAUCCAAUUGACCACCAGAGACAUUCUUCAAAGGACUCGGUUGGGCAACACGCCUUCCAUCUACCACCAACCUACCGAAGCGCAGCUCAGACUUGGCAACAAGAGAUCCAGCAGGAAAGUCCCGUCCAGAACAACCAAUGA
ensembl:lncRNA